rnacentral:rRNA from 1 species
AACGAACGCUGGCGGCAGGCCUAACACAUGCAAGCCGAACGGAUGUAGCAAUACAUUAGUGGCGCACGGGAGAGUAACACGUGGGAAUCUACCUUUUGGUUCGGAAUAACGUCGGGAAACUGACGCUAAUACCGGAUAAGCCCUACGGGGGAAAGUUUUUCGCCAAAAGAUGAGCCCGCGCUAGAUUAGCUUGUUGGUGAGGUAAUGGCUCACCAAGGCUACGAUCUAUAGCUGGUCUGAGAGGAUGACCAGCCUCACUGGGACUGAGACACGGCCCAGACUCCUACGGGAGGCAGCAGUGGGGAAUAUUGGACAAUGGGGGAAGCCCUGAUCCAGCCAUGCCGCGUGAAUGAUGAAGGCCUUCGGGUUGUAGAGUUCUUUUGGUAGGGACGAUGAUGACGGUACCUACAGAAUAAGCUCCGGCUAACUUCGUGCCAGCAGCCGCAGUAA